UGCGGUUUUAUUGUUUACAAUACACUAUGUACAAUUGAAAACAGCUUCAAUCUUGCAUGUCAAUAGUCAAAGUUUAGUUUUGGCAGAUUAUGGUGUAAAAACAGGAUAUUGUCAGCUAUGUGGAGCUAGUCUGCUGCGUUUUUCAGUGGAAAUGUUCCCAGCUUUACUUCACUCGAGACAAAAGACACAGGUUUUGCAACAAAAUGUGA